UACGUAGGGUGCAAGCGUUGUCCGGAAUUAUUGGGCGUAAAGAGCUCGUAGGCGGUUUGUUGCGUCUAUCGUGAAAACCUGCAGCUUAACUGUGGGCUUGCGGUGGAUACGGGCAGACUUGAGUCGGUAGGGGAGACUGGAAUUCCUGGUGUAGCGGUGAAAUGCGCAGAUAUCAGGAGGAACACCGGUGGCGAAGGCGGGCUCUG
rnacentral:rRNA from 1 species